UACAGAGGUGGCAAGCGUUGUUCGGAAUUACUGGGCGUAAAGGGCGCGUAGGCGGCCUUCUAAGUCAGACGUGAAAUCCCCAGGCUUAACUUGGGAACUGCGUCUGAUACUGGAAGGCUUGAGUGCGGAAGAGGGAUGUGGAAUUCCAGGUGUAGCGGUGAAAUUCGUAGAUAUUGGGAAGAACACCGGUGGCGAAGGCGGCUCACUGGCUCAUUACUGACGCUCAGGCGCGAUAGCGUGGGGAUCAAACAGG
rnacentral:rRNA from 1 species